rnacentral:rRNA from 1 species
UACGAAGGGGGCUAGCGUUGCUCGGAAUUACUGGGCGUAAAGGGCGUGCAGGCGGUUGGGUAAGUUAGGCGUGAAAGACUUCGGCUAAACCGGGGGAGGUCGUCUGAUACUGCUCAACUUGAGUAUGGUAGAGGCGUGUAGAAUUCCGGGUGUAGUGGUGAAAUGCGUAGAGAUCCGGAGGAAUACCAGUGGCGAAGGCGGCACGCUGGGCCAUUACUGACGCUAAGACGCGAAAGCAUGGGUAGCGAACGGG